rnacentral:rRNA from 1 species
GUCCCCGCGAGUGUUCGGGCGUCAAACCCCCGGCGCGGAAUGAAAGUGAACGGAGGUGGGAGCCCCGCGAGGGGCGCACCAUCGACCGAUCCAGAUGUCUUCGGAUGGAUUUGAGUACGAGCGCGGCCGUUGGGACCCGAAAGAUGGUGAACUAUGNCUGGGUAGGGUGAAGCCAGAGGAAACUCUGGUGGAGGCUCGCAGCGGUUCUGACGUGCAAAUCGAUCGUCAAACCUGGGCAUAGGGGCGAAAGACUAAUCGAACCAUCUAGUAGCUGGUUCCUGUCGAAGUUUCCCUCAGGAUAGCAGUCGCGCGGGCGGUUUUAUGAGGUAAAGCGAAUGAUUAGAGGCCUUGGGGGUGCAACACCCUUAACCUAUUCUCAAACUUUAAAUAUGUAAGAAGCCCCUGUUGCUUCGGUGAACGGGGGCGUGCGAACGCGGCGCGGCUAGUGGGCCAUUUUUGGUAAGCAGAACUGGCGAUGCGGGAUGAACCGAACGCGGGGUUAAGGUGCCGGAAUGCACGCUCAUCAGACACCACAAAAGAUGUCAAUUCAUCCGGACAGCCGGACGGUGGCCAUGGAAGCCGGAACCCGCCAAGGAGUGCGUA